rnacentral:rRNA from 1 species
CCAGACUCCUACGGGAGGCAGCAGUGGGGGAUAUUGGACAAUGGGGGAAACCCUGAUCCAGCGAUGCCGCGUGAGGGAAGAAGGUUUUCGGAUUGUAAACCUCUGUGGACAGGGACGAUAAUGACGGUACCUGUCAAGAAAGCCACGGCUAACUACGUGCCAGCAGCCGCGGUAAUACGUAGGUGGCGAGCGUUGUCCGGAAUUAUUGGGUUUAAAGGGAGCGUAGGCCGGUCUUUAAGCGUGCCGUGAAAUUUUGUGGCUCAACCAUGAGAGUGCGGCGCGAACUGGAGACCUUGAGUGCGCGGAAGGCAGGCGGAAUUCGUGGUGUAGCGGUGAAAUGCUUAGAUAUCACGAAGAACCCCGAUUGCGAAGGCAGCCUGCCGCAGCGUUACUGACGCUGAAGCUCGAAAGCGCGGGUAUCGAACAGGAUUAGAUACCCUGGUA